rnacentral:rRNA from 1 species
AGGUAGCAUAAUCAUUAGUCUUUUAAUUGAAGGCUGGAAUGAAUGGUUGGACGAAAUAUUUACUGUUUCAUAUUAAUUUUUGAUAAAAUUUUAUUUUUUAGUAAAAAAGCUAAAAUAAUAUUAAAAGACGAGAAGACCCUAUAAAUCUUUAUAUUUUAAUUAAUUUUUAUAAAUUAGAAAUUAAAUUAUUUAAUUUAAUUUAAAUAUUUUAUUGGGGUGAUAUUAAAAUUUAAUUAACUUUUAAUUUUAUUGAACAUUAAUUUAUGAAUUAUUGAUCCAAUAAUAUUGAUUAUUAGAAUAAGUUACUUUAGGGAUAACAGCGUAAUUUUUUUGGAGAGUUCAUAUUGAUAAAAAAUAUUGCGACCUCGAUGUUGGAUUAAGAAAUAAAUUUAGGUGUAGAAGCU